GGUAAUCAAUGAGUCACAAUUAUAGAAAGUCACUCUAUUUCUGUCUUAUCGCAUAAUGCUGAGAAUGUAGCAGCUUGUUCUUUAUUAGAGGUUGGACAGGUUUUUAUCGAUCUGACACGUGGUCUGCUGGUCUAUAAAACUUGGAUCAGCAGACAGAGAGAUGACAAACACAGCAUCAAGACUAAAGACUGUCUGACUGCUGCUGUAGACUCCAUCUGAAUUGCUACAUCUGGAGAAACAGAGCCUGCUGUGAAGCCAUGGCCUCCAAUCUAUCCCUCCUCCUGCUCGUCCUGAGUGCUUUCAUCACAGCUGAAGCAAUGGAACUGAGAGUGUUUAGCAUGCGGGCCACUAAUUUUCCCU